rnacentral:tRNA from 1 species
GACCAGCUAGCCCAGUGGUUAAGGCUGUGGAUCGCCAAUCCGGAGACGGCGGGUUGGAUUCCCGUUCCGGUCG